rnacentral:rRNA from 1 species
UACAGAGACUGCAAGCGUUAUUCGGAUUCACUGGGCGUAAAGGGUGCGCAGGCGGCCAAGUGUGUGAGGCGUGAAAGCCCGGGGCUUAACCCCGGAAUUGCACCUCAAACUACUUGGCUAGAGCAUUGGAGAGGGUAGCAGAAUUCAUGGUGUAGCAGUGAAAUGCGUAGAUAUCGUCAAGAACACCAAUAGUGAAGACAGCUUACUGGGCUUAAACUGACGCUGAGGCACGAAAGUGUGGGGAUCAAACAGG